GAUGAACGCUGGCGGCGUGCCUAAUACAUGCGAGUCGAGCGGCAGCACGGUCUUCGGACUGGUGGCGAGCGGCGGACGGCUGAGUAACGCGUAGGAACGUACCCCAAAGUGAGGGAUAACUGCUCGAAAGAGUAGCUAAUACCGCAUGUGAUCUAAGGAUUAAAGCUUCGGCGCUUUGGGAACGGCCUGCGUCCGAUUAGCUAGUUGGUGAGGUAAAAGCUCACCAAGGCGACGAUCGGUAGCUGGUCUGAGAGGAUGAUCAGCCAGACUGGGACUGAGACACGGCCCAGACUCCUACGGGAGGCAGCAGUAGGGAAUUUUCCACAAUGGGCGAAAGCCUGAUGGAGCAACGCCGCGUGCAGGAUGAAUGCCUUAGGGUUGUAAGCUGCUUUUAUAUGUGACGAAUAUGACGGUAGCAUAUGAAUAAGGAUCGGCUAACUCCGUGCCAGCCGCCGCGGUAA
rnacentral:rRNA from 1 species